rnacentral:rRNA from 1 species
GACGAACGCUGGCGGCGUGCCUAAUACAUGCAAGUCGAGCGAUGAAGUUUGGUACUUGUACCCACUGGUUGAGCAGCGAACGGGUGAGUAACGCGUGGGGAAUCUGCCUUUGAGCGGGGGACAACAUUUGGAAACGAAUGCUAAUACCGAAUAAAAUCUUUAAACACAAGUUUCAAGUUUGAAAGAUGCAAUUGCAUCACUUAAAGAUGAUCCCGCGUUGUAUUGACUAGUUGGUGAGGUAAAGGCUCACCAAGGCGAGGAUACAUAACCGACCUGAGAGGGGAAGCUGCCUCGCUGGGAUGAGAGCACGGCCCAACCCCCUUCGGGAGGGAGCCGGAGGAGAACCUCGGCGAUGGAAGAAAGUCUGACCGAUCAACACCGGGUGAGAGAAUGAGGUUUUCGGGCCGUAAAACUCUUUUAGUAGUGAAGAACGUAGGUCACAAUUAAAAGCUCAGCUAAUGACGGUAACUACCCAGAAAGCGACGGCUAACUACGUG